UUCCAAGAUUACCAUAACUUUCUUGAUAAUUUGAAAAACGAAACUAUUAAAAUUUCAGGAUGAUCAUGAAACGUUCAUCAAGAUGAAAAGUAACAGGGUGUUGUUGAGACUAAUGACGUUUUAUUGUGAGCUUAAAAAUCUUAAUUUUGACAAUGUUGUUUUCCUCUUCGAUGGUCUCAUCUCCCUCGUAACCGCACACCUGCUUAAUAUGCAAGAUGGAGAUGAAAUCGACGCAAUCUUGUGUAGAGGAUUGGACUAGUAUUGUUACCAUAAUCUAUGAAGAUUUUUACUUCUAAUACUAGUUUUAUGUUGAUCUUUUGGUUGUUGAACUUAGAAAUAUUUAGUUGCUUCUUUUUUUUUCACUUGAGACAAGUCUAGAUUUGGUGUUGUUGAUUUAGUGAUUUGUGUAGAGUGUGAGAAGAGAAACUAGACAUGUAUUGUUGUCUUUUCAAGUUUGAUUUUAGAUGAAA